rnacentral:rRNA from 1 species
UACAGAGGCCUCGAGCGUUAGGCGGAAUCACUGGGCUUAAAGCGUGUGUAGGUGGAUGCCUAAGUACCUUGUGAAAUCCCACGGCUUAACCGUGGAACUGCUUGGUAUACUGGGUGUCUUGAGUCACUCAGGGGCGAGCGGAACAAAUGGUGGAGCGGUGAAAUGCGUAGAUAUCAUUUGGAACGCCAAUGGUGAAAACAGCUCGCUGGGGGUGCACUGACACUGAGACACGAAAGCCAGGGGAGCGAACGGG